GGGUCAGUAGGUUGGUCGUGCCACCGGUACGUACUGGUCUCACUGAUUCCUCCUUCCUGAAGAACCGUAAUGCCAUUAAUUUGGGGUUGCGGUGAAACAGGACUGUUACUUUGAAAAAAUUAGAGUGUUUAAAGCAAGCUAACGCUUGAAUACAUUAGCAUGGAAUAAUGAAAUAGGACGAUCGAUCCUAUUUUGUUGGUUUCUAGGAUUGACGUA
rnacentral:rRNA from 1 species